GUGAAUGCAGGUGGCUGCUGCUGGAUAUGGGAGCCUCUCAUACCAUGACCCCAAACACCCCUCAUCCUCACCAGCUCUGACAUGAGCAGAAAGACAACUGUGGCUUAGCCUGGCCAACUGAAUGCUGCCGUAGGACUUGGGACUCUUAGAUGAGAAAUACAAAGAUAGAAAGAAUGGUUGAAACAUUGUAUAUGCGCUCUUUAAAUAGGGGUAAGCUGCACACAGUAAGGAAGAUUUAGAGCAGCUGGUAACAAUGAACUAUAUCCUCUCCUUUAGAGCCUAGAAGACACUAAGAUGGUACAAUAAUUAUUGGGGAAUUCAACAUCUCCAACUCAAUGUGUCCAAGAGCAAACCUGAGGACUUUCCACAAGUGCCUGCUCAUCUUUCGUUGUUUUCUACUUUAAUAAACUCAUUAGACCAAAAAUGUAUGGGUCACUUCCUUUACUCACUCACCUUUGA